UAAUAAAAAUAACAAAAAAUUCCUGACCAUUGCGUUCUCCCCUAAUUCAUGAAAUUUACUUUCGAAUGACACGGCGGUGAUUUACAUUGUAAUAGAUUCAUACAUGCAAGCUAGUGAAUACAUUCAUCUAGUAUUCAGAUGGAAGAGAGACAUUCUGACAUCUGCGCCUGAACUAAAAAUUGUAAUGCAAUUUUUUAAAAGUGAAAUACACGCACGACGUGAAUUCUCCAAGAAAAGUGCACGUGAUUGCGAGAUUAGCGAAGUGCUUCAAAAAUUCAAUACAAUAUAACAUUCCAUUCAUCCAAGAAUCCAUUUUUAACGCAAAUUCCACACGAAAAUGAGUGACUAGGAAGUCAGAAUAAUUUUUGCGCAGAUGUUCGUGCAAUUUUUUCCGGAUUUUUUUUACAUUCACAACGUCAGGCACGGUAUAUUGCACGAAUGCGGAAAUCCUCUUUCUGUCACGAAAAGGCUCACAAUGGAAAUCACUUUGGGAGGAUUGCCCAGGACGAUGUGGAGCAAAAAGAACGAGUGUUGAUGGAACACUGCGGCAUAUACCGUAUCCUCAAACAAGAGUUUUCUGGUUUUAAUCCGUUGAGAUCACUGUGCAAACAUUUGGUGGAAAUUUCAGGAACUGACAGUUUUGGGACCACUGAAGUUAUGCCAUUCGGCCGCGGUGGAUUAAUUCAUUAAAAAUACCAAAGACCGACGGAGAAAAUUAAAAUGUUCAGACAUACCAGCCUGAGCAGCAUUUCCAUCGUGAUCGCAGAAAACAGGAAGUACAAGAGUGGGUGCAGCAUGGUAAGCUGCCUCGUGGAGUGACAACAGUCCCCCAUGUGACACAAAUCCCCUCAGAUCCUUGUGCCCCAGGAGCUCCUGCUGGGGCCACCACGCCCCGGUUCUGAUAUUGCUCGGUAAAUUAUCAAUUUUUCCGCCUUCCCAUUUCCACACGACAUUGAACGGCAAAGUCGCGAAUGCCGCGACAAACAUCUCCCUGAGGCUGUCGGGCAUUCCCGAGGCCCUCACGGACGAACCCAUGGAGACAAAUAUAAAUCCUAUCAACAUAAAUACAUGAUUUUUUCCCGUCCGUCAAUACCACGGAUAUUUCCAUUAGCCGGGUCAAUAUUUACAAGUAUCCAAUCUUGUUUAUUUUUUUUUUUUCAAUCCUUGUGUGUAUGUCCAGCUUGAAAUAAAAAUAAGAGACUAGAAGAGGAUACUGCUUGCGUAAUUUUCAAUGAAAAAUUCUAGGAUUUCUUGAGGUGUACCUUUUCGUAGAAAUGAUUCCAGAUCGGGACUCAGGCCCAUGGGUGGACGACAAUGGAGGCAGGCGACGUUUACAACAUUCGAUAGAUAUGGGAGAGAGUCUGCUACUGCGUAAUGACUGUUCUGGAGGGUCACUGGCACUUCCGAAACUAGUUCUCGAACAUCCGGCACUUGGUACCCUGAAUCAUCAGGUGAAAUCGUUGACAGAAAUUAUUGGCUUUCGAUGUCUUGCGAUGUCAUGGAAAUUUUACCAGAUUUUUUUAUGGCUUUCGAACGGUAGCUCUUGUAAUUGUUCAAAAUUAACUUUACAAUAUUCCCGUCUAAUGUACAGUUCAAUAUUUGGUUUUUUAAUUUUAUCUUGAAGAAUAAAUCGGUGAUAAAACU